rnacentral:rRNA from 1 species
AUUGAACGCUGGCGGCAUGCCUUACACAUGCAAGUCGAACGGCAGCACGGAGCUUGCUCUGGUGGCGAGUGGCGAACGGGUGAGUAAUAUAUCGGAACGUACCCUGGAGUGGGGGAUAACGCAGCGAAAGUUGCGCUAAUACCGCAUACGAUCUACGGAUGAAAGUGGGGGAUCGCAAGACCUCAUGCUCGUGGAGCGGCCGAUAUCUGAUUAGCUAGUUGGUAGGGUAAAAGCCUACCAAGGCAUCGAUCAGUAGCUGGUCUGAGAGGACGACCAGCCACACUGGGACUGAGACACGGCCCAGACUCCUACGGGAGGCAGCAGUGGGGAAUUUUGGACAAUGGGGGCAACCCUGAUCCAGCAAUGCCGCGUGAGUGAAGAAGGCCUUCGGGUUGUAAAGCUCUUUUGUCAGGGAAGAAACGGUGAUUCUUAAUACGGAUUGCUAAUGACGGUACCUGAAGAAUAAGCACCGGCUAACUACGUGCCAGCAGCCGCGGUAAUACGUAGGGUGCAAGCGUUAAUCGGAAUUACUGGGCGUAAAGCGUGCGCAGGCGGUUAUGUAAGUCAGAUGUGAAAUCCCCGGGCUCAACCCUGGGAAUGGCAUUUGAGACUGCAUGGCUAGAGUGUGUCAGAGGGGGGUAGAAUUCCACGUGUAGCAGUGAAAUGCGUAGAUAUGUGGAGGAAUACCGAUGGCGAAGGCAGCCCCCUGGG